AUUCCUUCCCACCCCAGUGUGCUUUAUGCAGCUCUUCCUUGGAUCACGCUCCAACUCAGAAGAGUGAUGUGGUUCAGGUUCAACCCAAACUGGGAAGUUCAAGGUGAUAUUUUAAGAUCUUUUUUUGAAAGUGCUCUUAGACCAAAGAGGCUCUUCUCUGAAUCUGUGGGCAAAGCUGGAAUGACAAGCAGGCAAUAUCCAACAUGCUCUGCACAUGUCUCCACAUACCAAGGGAAAAGAUACUUUAACUACAUUUUCAGUGCUGCCCUGUUUGACUGGAAGACAAAGCAGUGUGAGAGCAGAGGGCUGAUGGAUCGACUCCUACACAAGGUCGGUCUCAUGGCAAGCCAUCACUGCCCGGUCUCUGGUCACAGCCCAGCAGCAUUGCCACAUGUGCCAGGGGGCAGAGGGCUGAGCCUUCCUCUGAUCUCCAGACCAGGUCCUAAGUCUGAGUCAGGCGCUGCCCAUCAUGUCCGUACACCAGAGCCAGCAGCCCAGGGCGUGUUGUCUACUUGCGAGAACUGCAGGGACAUCAGAGGCCAAUGGCUGGAUAUACUGAAACUUCUCAGCUCAGACUUAUUUUAAAAUCUCCUGGGUCAGGAAGAAGCUAUAAGAAUGCAGGCUGGAGGAUGGCUGUGCGGUGGAGGGAGGAGACCAACAUGGGUGUGAGUGGGAGCAUGGCCGGAGAGCUGCCUCUCAUCGGAAUUGCUCAGCAGUACUGACCAUGUUAAGCUUUAUUGCUACCCCAUUGUCUUGGCCAUGAAAUUCAGAGUCCUGAAAUAUGUGAUGGACCUUGAAUACCUACCCAAACUCUUUACAUGGAAGCUGCUGUGUCCAGCAUGGUUUGUAAAGCUCCCAUCCUCUGCAGGAGCAUGCAGAGAUCCAGGUUCAGGGACACCGGGCUGCAGUUCCAGCAGGCACAAAAGCAAGGGAAAAUGCAAAACCUCCCAGAGCCUUCUGAAAGUUCAAAAAAUAAAAUAAAUGCUCUUGGAAUAGAGGUAUCACUGCAGAGCAGUACAAGUCACAGCUCUGAGACAUUGAUUGCUGGGUGGACUGGAGACAGCAGAGAACCCGGAGUCCUCCAAAAUAUUCCCUUGGUUCAGAUUUCAGUUUUUAUGGACAACUGCAAAGCAUCUCCACUAUAAUUCCUUGACCUUGCAAUCAAAUAGCAUGCUCUUUUUAUACUCACAAGGGCAGCUGCUGAACACAUUGCUGUAGUUUGGAUUUUUGCCUUUGUGAAUUGUUUCAUUUAGUUUGAUAUCAUUAGGUAUGUAGCAUGUAUAUAUGAACCUGUGCAGUAAAACAUCUAAGGUUUGUACCCAUAAGACUAAUUCCUGCUGCUCCUACUUAGUAAAUAAUGACAGCCUUGAGACCCAUGAGCGCUGAGGACCUUAGAAAAUUCAGAUGCUUUCAGUUAUGUGCCUAUAUAUGGUUUUAAUAGUCUCAGUUUAUUAAAAAGGUAGGUUUUUAAUUCUAAUGAACUAAACUCUGCCCUGAAUUACUAAAAUGUAAAUCCAAAGUAACUUUGACUAAACCAGAAAACCUGAGUUUACCCAUCCAUCAAAGAGGGCAGAAUUUGGUUCGUUAUCCUGCCCAAGUCCCAUUUUAAUGGCAAGAGAUAGUAUUAUCAGUCAUCUCAGUAGUGACAGUGCAAAACCCAAACUACUGUACAUUCUAGGAACAGGUUCUUAAACCUUAAACAACACAUAAUUCUCCUUAAAACCUUCUUUUAUUAAAAAGUUUAAAAAAUGAUAUUAAAUACAGAAACAGCCAUGUUAAUUAGAUUAUAUAGUUAAUGUACAUUGGAACUAUGACUUAUUGCAGAGUUACUGACCAUGAAAGCACAUUUUGAUCAUUCCAGACUGUAAUCCCCACUUAAUCCAUCCCCAGUCUGUCAAUCAGUGGAAUACAAUCAGGAUAUUUAUGAUCACAUCAGACCAGAGAUCUGGAAGAAUUUAGCAACUUUGCAGAGCUGAAUCCAGAAAAGAAGGGGGAAAAAUGUUUCCACUGGCAAAAUGAACCGUUGCCAGGAAAAACAUUAUUGUUGACUUGGCCCAUGUAAUUGAAUUUUCUACUCAGAAGUAACUUACAAACCAGCAACUAGGAGAAAUUAUCAAUACUGGGAACUCUCAUAAUAACAAAGCAGAGGAGUUUUACCUGGCACAGUACUUCUUAAAAUCGUGUUUUUCUUUUUUUAACACAGCGCUGUGGUUUUUUCCUCUCCUAGUUUUUUGCCAUCAUGAAAUAAUUCAAAUCACUGGAGCAGCAGGAAAAAACAUCCCUUUCUCAGGCCCCCAGCCUCCUGACAUCCACCGCAGGCCCCGUUUCAGUGACUGUGAGCACCUCCCAGCAAGAGCAGUGACCUGGGGGCAGGAGAGUCCUGGACGUCCAUGGGCAUCCAAUGCCCUGCCCAGGCCUUGGAAACCUUCAGGCUCCAUCUGAAAUUGAGAUUUGGCUGGCACAGCCUCGCUGGUGGGAGCUACCUAAGGAGUGGCCCUAUUACAGUGGUUUCUCUGGUGCUCAGUGCCCAGCCUCUGGAGGAACCCAGAGCAAGCAUCCCACCUGGGAGGCUUUGAUAAUUUCUUCUGUAGCUCCAAGCAUAGUGAACCCCUCUCUGUGAAGGAAGAACUGUCAGGCAUUCAAGGCAGAGCCGGCUGUGAUGGCACAACAUGACCCUCAGUCCACUGCAAGUCUGUAGCCUGAAUACCAGGCUGUAUUUGUUUGCUGCUGCCUGCUGAAGCCUUCGACCUCAGCCUGCCCUUCUCUCCCCCAGCGCUGACAGUCAUGCUACGCAGAGGGACUCGGCUGUGAGUUUCAGCAAGAACAAAAGGAUGUUGUUACCCCGAGGAACUGUCGGUGGGCACAGAUGCAGCUGUGGUGUGAUGCCAGGAUUGCCACGAGGUGCCCGAGCAUGCUGAUUUCCUGCAGACCCAUGCUGAGGACCUUCCAAGGGGGAAAUAGCUCUCGGCAGCUGCCAGCCCUGUGCUGUUCCUGCUGUCACGACAAGGAGAAAAUGCUUCACAGGACGGUGAGCUCAGCUCAGCGGCACAGAAAUACCUGGACACAACUGGAAAAGUUCCCUGGAAAAGAAGAGCUUAGCAUCAUCCACCGACCUGGAGAGUUUGAUGUCCACUCCCCUCCCAAUGCUACAAAUGAAGAUGCUGAAUAAAACCAGGCCCAGCAGAGAUUCUUAGGAAACUCCAUUGCUGAAUGGAAAACUCUCAUCUGUCCCCAAAAAGUGUCCAUUAAACCCAGUACUUUGCUGCCUACAACAUAGGAAUAGCUUUUAAGUGGCUCUCAAUCCAUAAAGAAGCUUCGUUUCAACUCCGUGGCAAUGUAAAUUAAAAAAUAAUAAUAAUAAUUUAAUUUAAUUUUUAACCUUUUUGAAAAUACCUUUUCUGUCCAUCGGGUUCUCCCUAUCCACAUGCUUACUGAUGUUCCCCUAGCGCCCCAGCACGUUGUCCAGGCAGGGGUUCCCUUGUCAGAGGCUCUUUGCCACCCCCCGUUUGGUGCAGACCCAAGCGCCCCAGCAGGGCUGGAUGUG